GUCCUUGUUCGUUCAGAGGCAGGAAACGGCUAGCCAGGAACAGGAAGCCCUUCAGCUCUUCGUCUUGGAACGGCCCCACGGCGGGCCCCCGUGCGGACAACGCUCACAAGAAACGUUUCUCCAGCACCCCACAUACAGGCAAGGCCAGAGGGAAAGGUAAAGCAGAGGAGAUCUUGGAAAACUCAGAGAACCUCUACGACGAGCCCUCGGCGGAUCUCUCCGAGAUCGACGCCCGUCUGCAGGCGCUGCAGGAGUACAUGAAUAAGCUGGAAACGCAGACGUAGCCCGAGCGGGGGAGCUGAGCCUUGGCCCAGC
rnacentral:lncRNA from 1 species